AGAGUUUGAUCCUGGCUCAGAUUGAACGCUGGCGGCAGGCCUAACACAUGCAAGUCGAGCGGAUGACGGAGCUUGCUCCCUGAUUUAGCGGCGGACGGGUGAGUAAUGCCUAGGAAUCUGCCUGGUAGUGGGGGAUAACGUUCCGAAAGGAACGCUAAUACCGCAUACGUCCUACGGGAGAAAGCAGGGGACCUUCGGGCCUUGCGCUAUCAGAUGAGCCUAGGUCGGAUUAGCUAGUUGGUGAGGUAAUGGCUCACCAAGGCGACGAUCCGUAACUGGUCUGAGAGGAUGAUCAGUCACACUGGAACUGAGACACGGUCCAGACUCCUACGGGAGGCAGCAGUGGGGAAUAUUGGACAAUGGGCGAAAGCCUGAUCCAGCCAUGCCGCGUGUGUGAAGAAGGUCUUCGGAUUGUAAAGCACUUUAAGUUGGGAGGAAGGGCAGUAAGUUAAUACCUUGCUGUUUUGACGUUACCGACAGAAUAAGCACCGGCUAACUUCGUGCCAGCAGCCGCGGU
rnacentral:rRNA from 1 species